rnacentral:misc_RNA from 1 species
CCCGCUGGAUCCGUGGUUUCGCGAAUUGCUCCGAUCACGACUCGCGUCUUCGAUCUGGGCUCUGCGCGUUGCUUCCGGACUUAACAAAACCCCGGCACGAAAAGUGUCAAGGAACAUGCAACUAAAUGGCUACUCAUCCGUGGUCCCCGGAGACGGUGUGUCCGCGGAUGCUUAGUCGUAAAAUAUAAAGUCUAAAACGACUCUCGGCAACGGAUAUCUCGGCUCUCGCAUCGAUGAAGAACGUAGCGAAAUGCGAUACUUGGUGUGAAUUGCAGAAUCCCGUGAACCAUCGAGUCUUUGAACGCAAGUUGCGCCCCAAGCCUUCUGGCCGAGGGCACGUCUGCCUGGGUGUCACAAAUCGUCGUCCCCUCCAUCCUCUCGAGGAUUGCGGGACGGAAGCUGGUCUCCCGUGUGUUACCGCACGCGGUUGGCCAAAAUCCGAGCCAAGGACGCCGGGAGCGUCUCGACAUGCGGUGGUGAAAACAAAGCCUCUUCAUAUCGUCGGUCCGCUCCUGUCCGGAAGCUCUAAAUGACCC